UGUGGCUUAGGGACAACUCUGUGAAUGUCCUUGAGUGGGCCAGCCAGAGCCCGGACUUGAACCCACUAGAACAUCUCUGGAGAGUCCUGAAAAUGUCUGUCCACCGACGGUCCCUAUCCAACCUGACAGAGCUUGAGAGGAUCUGCAGAGAAGAAUGGCAGAAACUCCCCAAAUCCAGGCAUCAAUUGGCACUACAUCCAAGGCCACAAAACAACCUGGGUUUUGGUCAUAGUCACUCUGAAUUGAGCUGAAAUCCCUCUUCCAACAUAUGAAAACAAAACCAGACGGCAACACAGAAAACUCCAGCAGCUCAGCUAAUUUUCUGCCUGCUGGGACAUGCCGCCUCUGACUGCGAGAGACACGAAGUGAAACAUAUAUUCAUUUAUCACUUAUACAACAACUAAUGCUCAGGAAGAAGGGAAAUAGAGGACUUGGAGACCUGUUCUGGCAUAUUCAGAAAUCAUUUGAAUUAACAUUAGUGAACGUAAUAGUUAACAUGAACUAACAAGUAACAAUACUUUUACAGCAUUUAAAGUGAUAGUUCACCCAAAAAUGAAAAUUCUCUCAUCAUUAACUCACCCUCAUGCCAUCCCAGAUGUGUAUGACUUUCUUUUUUCUGCACAAUAUAAAAGAAGAUUUUAAGAAGAAUAUCUCAGCUCUGUUGGUCCUUACAAUGCAAGUGAAUGAUGACCAAAACUUUGAAGGUCCAAAAAGCACAUAAAGGAAGCAUAAAAGUAAUCCAAACAACUCCCGUGGUUUAAUCCAUGUCUUUAGAAGCGAUAUGAUUGGUGUGGGUGAGAAACAGAUCAAUAUUUAAGUCCUUUUUUACUAUAAAUUCUCCUUCCUGCCCAGAAAGUGGGGAUAUGCACGAAGAAUGCGAAUCGCCAAAAACAAAAGAAGAAUGCGACACUGAAAGUGGAGAUUUAUAGUAAAAAAAGACUUAAAUAUUGAUCUGCUUCACACUCACAGCUAUCAUAUUGCUUCUGAAGAUAUGGAUUUAACCACUGGAGUCAUAUGGAUUACCUUUAAUGCUGCCUUUACAUGCUUUUUGGAGCUUCAAAGUUCUGGCCACCAUUCACUUGCGUUGUAUGGACCUACAGAGCUCAAAUAUUCUUCUAUAAAUUAUGAAAAAAUAAAAUAAAAUCAUUUUUGGGUGAACUAUUACUUUAAUAAUCUUGGUUAAUGUUAAUUUGUACAUAUACUAAUAAUUUGUUUACAUUAAAAGUUGUAUACAUUAACAUUACUGCAAUAUAGCCUAACUUGAACACACUGAACAACAGUAUUUUGAUAAAUAAACAUUUCCCAAGAUUUCCAAAAUUCUGUAAACAAUUAUUUCAUUGUUAUUUCAAUAUACCUAAUGCAUUUACUAAUGUUAACAAAUACAACCUUAUUUUACAGAGUUACAGAAUACUCUAUAUAGCCUCCACUUAAAACAUUUUGUCAAUACUGCAACAGAUGACUCUGUAAAUAUGUAUU